rnacentral:sRNA from 1 species
AAAGAGGAGCGAGAGCCCGGCGAUGGCGGCUGCGCCGGCCUUGAAGCACUGGCGCACCACGCUGGAGCGGGUGGAGAAGUUCGUGUCGCCGCUCUACUUUACCGACUGUAACCUCCGCGGCAGAUGGUGGACCUGCUGGUUCCGGGUGGAGCUGACCAUCCCAGAGGCAUGGGUGGGCCAGGAAGUUCACCUUUGCUGGGAAAGUGAUGGAGAAGGUCUGGUGUGGCGUGAUGGAGAACCUGUCCAGGGUUUAACCAAAGAGGGUGAGAAGACCAGCUAUGUCCUGACUGACAGGCUGGGGGAAAGAGACCCCCGAAGCCUCACUCUCUAUGUGGAAGUUGCCUGCAAUGGGCUCCUAGGGGCCGGGAAGGGAAGCAUGAUUGCAGCCCCUGACCCUGAGAAGAUGUUCCAGCUGAGCCGGGCUGAGCUAGCCGUGUUCCACCGGGAUGUCCACAUGCUCCUGGUGGAUCUGGAGCUGCUGCUGGGCAUAGCCAAGGGCCUCGGGAAGGACAACCAGCGCAGCUUCCAGGCCCUGUACACAGCCAAUCAGAUGGUGAACGUGUGUGACCCUGCCCAGCCUGAGACCUUCCCAGUGGCCCAGGCCCUGGCCUCCAGGUUCUUUGGCCAACAUGGAGGUGAAAGCCAACACACAAUUCAUGCCACAGGGCACUGCCACAUUGAUACAGCCUGGCUUUGGCCCUUCAAAGAGACUGUGAGGAAAUGUGCCCGAAGCUGGGUGACGGCCCUGCAGCUCAUGGAGCGGAACCCUGAGUUCAUCUUUGCCUGCUCCCAGGCUCAGCAGCUGGAGUGGGUGAAGAGCCGCUAUCCUGGCCUGUACUCCCGCCUCCAGGAGUUUGCGUGCCGUGGGCAGUUUGUGCCUGUGGGGGGCACCUGGGUGGAGAUGGAUGGGAACCUGCCCAGUGGAGAGGCCAUGGUGAGGCAGUUUCUGCAGGGCCAGAACUUCUUUCUGCAGGAGUUUGGGAAGAUGUGCUCCGAGUUCUGGCUGCCAGACACCUUUGGCUACUCAGCACAGCUCCCCCAGAUCAUGCACGGCUGUGGCAUCAGGCGCUUUCUCAGCCAGAAAUUGAGCUGGAAUUUGGUGAACUCUUUCCCACACCAUACAUUUUUCUGGGAGGGGCUGGAUGGCUCCCGUGUACUGGUCCACUUCCCACCUGGCGACUCCUAUGGGAUGCAGGGCAGCGUGGAGGAGGUGCUGAAGACCGUGGCCAACAACCGGGACAAGGGGCGGGCCAACCACAGUGCCUUCCUCUUUGGCUUUGGGGAUGGGGGUGGUGGCCCCACCCAGACCAUGCUGGACCGCCUGAAGCGCCUGAGCAAUACGGAUGGGCUGCCCAGGGUGCAGCUAUCUUCUCCAAGACAGCUCUUCUCAGCACUGGAGAGUGACUCAGAGCAGCUGUGCACGUGGGUUGGGGAGCUCUUCUUGGAGCUGCACAAUGGCACAUACACCACCCAUGCCCAGAUCAAGAAGGGGAACCGGGAAUGUGAGCGGAUCCUGCACGACGUGGAGCUGCUCAGUAGCCUGGCCCUGGCCCGCAGUGCCCAGUUCCUAUACCCAGCAGCCCAGCUGCAGCACCUCUGGAGGCUCCUGCUUCUGAACCAGUUCCAUGAUGUGGUGACUGGAAGCUGCAUCCAGAUGGUGGCAGAGGAAGCCAUGUGCCACUAUGAAGACAUCCGUUCCCAUGGCAAUACACUGCUCAGCGCCGCAGCCGCAGCCCUGUGUGCUGGGGAGCCAGGUCCUGAGGGCCUCCUCAUCGUCAACACGCUGCCCUGGAAGCGGACCGAAGUGAUGGCCCUGCCCAAACCAGGCGGGGCCCACAGCCUAGCCCUGGUGACAGUGCCCAGCAUGGGCUAUGCUCCUGUUCCUCCCCCGACCUCGCUGCAGCCCCUGCUGCCCCAGCAGCCUGUGUUCGUAGUGCAAGAGACUGACGGCUCCGUGACUCUGGACAAUGGCAUCAUCCGAGUGAAGCUGGACCCAACUGGCCGCCUGACGUCCUUGGUCCUGGUGGCCUCUGGCAGGUGCCAACUCCUCACUGCCCUUUCCCAGUGCCUGGCAAGUAGACCCCAGCCCAUUUCCUCUCUCCCCUGGCCAUAACACUGCCCACAGCAGCCCACCAGUGGCUCUGGGCUGGAACCCACACAUGGAGCAGGGCAGGCUGGGCAGUAGUCCCCUGUCCGCUGGGUCUACUCACUCCACCCUACCCCACCAAGAGCAGCUGGAGAGAGCGAGGUCAGUUGGUUGUACAGCACCAAUCCCAUGUCCUUCCAGGGAGGCCAUUGCCGAGGGUGCCGUGGGGAACCAGUUUGUGCUAUUUGAUGAUGUCCCCUUGUACUGGGAUGCAUGGGACGUCAUGGACUACCACCUGGAGACACGGUAUGGGCUGGGCAGCAUGUGGGGAUGGUGGAGGUAGUGGGAACACAGGCUGCUCUGGAUCAGUAUGUCCACCCCUGUCCCAUAGGAAGCCUGUGCUGGGCCAGGCAGGGACCCUGGCAGUGGGCACCGAGGGCGGCCUGCGGGGCAGCGCCUGGUUCUUGCUACAGAUCAGCCCCAACAGUCGGCUUAGCCAGGAGGUUGUGCUGGACGUUGGCUGCCCCUAUGUCCGCUUCCACACCGAGGUACACUGGCAUGAGGCCCACAAGUUCCUG